GCAAGGUUAACUCAGCUGGUAGAGCAUGAGACCCUUAAUCUCAGGAUCAUGGGUUUGAGCCCCAAACUGGGCA